UGAGUGCUUGCGUACAGUGACAGUAUUAUUAUGGUGUUAUCUUAGCAAUUAAUAAUGAUCUCUAACUCUGAAAAUCCUAUUUGCACUUGAAAAUGGCCACCAGUCACUCGAAACUGACGUAUACAUUCUAUCUAAUACAAGAAGAAAUUUGGAUUUCCAUUUAUCAUCUGUGCAAGAGAAAACAAGGUAUUAUCAAUAAUUGAAGGAUUGCAAAAGCGAUAUGAUAACACAAGGGAACAAGAAAUACAAACUGGAAUAAAU
rnacentral:misc_RNA from 1 species